rnacentral:rRNA from 1 species
UACAGAGGUCUCAAGCGUUGUUCGGAUUCAUUGGGCGUAAAGGGUGCGUAGGUGGCGCGGUAAGUCGGGUGUGAAAUUUCGGAGCUUAACUCCGAAACUGCAUUCGAUACUGCCGUGCUUGAGGACUGGAGAGGAGACUGGAAUUUACGGUGUAGCAGUGAAAUGCGUAGAGAUCGUAAGGAAGACCAGUGGCGAAGGCGGGUCUCUGGACAGUUCCUGAUACUGAGGCACGAAGGCCAGGGGAGCAAACGGG